GAUGAACGCUGGCGGCGUGCCUAAUACAUGCAAGUCGAGCGAACGGACGAGAAGCUUGCUUCUCUGAUGUUAGCGGCGGACGGGUGAGUAACACGUGGAUAACCUACCUAUAAGACUGGGAUAACUUCGGGAAACCGGAGCUAAUACCGGAUAAUAUUUUGAACCGCAUGGUGCAAAAGUAAAAGACGGUCUUGCUGUCACUUAUAGAUGGAUCCGCGCUGCAUUAGCUAGUUGGUAAGGUAACGGCUUACCAAGGCAACGAUGCAUAGCCGACCUGAGAGGGUGAUCGGCCACACUGGAACUGAGACACGGUCCAGACUCCUACGGGAGGCAGCAGUAGGGAAUCUUCCGCAAUGGGCGAAAGCCUGACGGAGCAACGCCGCGUGAGUGAUGAAGGUCUUCGGAUCGUAAAACUCUGUUAUUAGGGAAGAACAUAUGUGUAAGUAACUGUGCACAUCUUGACGGUACCUAAUCAGAAAGCCACGGCUAACUACGUG
rnacentral:rRNA from 1 species